rnacentral:rRNA from 1 species
AAUGCCUUCACAUGCAAGUCGAACGGCAGCACGGACUUCGGUCUGGUGGCGAGUGGCGAACGGGUGAGUAAUGUAUCGGAACGUGCCCAGUAGCGGGGGAUAACUACGCGAAAGCGUGGCUAAUACCGCAUACGCCCUACGGGGGAAAGCAGGGGAUCGCAAGACCUUGCACUAUUGGAGCGGCCGAUAUCGGAUUAGCUAGUUGGUGGGGUAACGGCUCACCAAGGCGACGAUCCGUAGCUGGUUUGAGAGGACGACCAGCCACACUGGGACUGAGACACGGCCCAGACUCCUACGGGAGGCAGCAGUGGGGAAUUUUGGACAAUGGGGGAAACCCUGAUCCAGCCAUCCCGCGUGUGCGAUGAAGGCCUUCGGGUUGUAAAGCACUUUUGGCAGGAAAGAAACGUCGCGGUGUUAAUACCCCGC